AUCCGUUGUAGUCUAGUUGGUCAGGAUAUUCGGCUCUCACCCGAAAGACCCGGGUUCAAGUCCCGGCAACGGAAUACG
rnacentral:tRNA from 1 species